UGGGGCAGGAGCCAAUCAGUGUUGAUGGGCGGGUAUUUGAACUGUCCAAUCGCGUGGUCCGUGGGAAGAGGGCACUGUUUCCUGGUUCCAAAACUCAGAUCCUGAAUGGAGUGCUGAGAGCCGCAGCAGUUGUGUCUCAGGCUGGCUUUCAUAGCAGGCUCUGUGGGCAGCCCCGCGGGACCCGCCAGCCACGCAAUGCUCCCUGACUUCGCAGCCUUCCCAAAAGCCCAGAGCGCAUGUCGGGCAGCCGCAGGCGCAGCCGCGUGUCCCGUGUGCGUGGAGAGUGAGCUGUGCGGGACCGACUCCGGGGCGAGCGGAGCUGGGGCGCUGUGGUGUGCGGAUCCGCGGCCCCGCCCACCUCCCGGGGGCCCGGAGGACCUGCGUCCCGCAGUGUCUGUGAUUCAGGGUCAGAGCCUCGCCUGCGCUCCCCGGGCCAGCAGGGCUUCGUGCUGA
rnacentral:lncRNA from 1 species